UUACUAAAAAUGAUUCUGUCAUUCUACAGGCUUUUUAUAUUUGGAUUGGAAAAAACUGUGAUAACAACUUCAUAAAAGAUGUCCUUGGAUACCCAAACUAUGCAUCAGUACCAUAGAAAAUGACACAACUCCCUGAGGUAGUUGCACUUUUUUCAGAAAGGACGCGGUCUUUCAUAGCCUGGCUGAGGGACAACAGACUUUUAAGCCCAGUUCUUCAAGUAAUAAAAGAUGAAACUCCUGCCAAGACAGAGUCUUUUCAGCAUUUAAUUGAAGAUUGGACAGAAGCAGCUUUCUCUUAUUAUGACUUCUUACUUCAUAUUCAACAGCAGAUUUGUAAAUGAGCAAGGAGUAAACUAGAAGAAAAAUCCUGACUCCAGAUAGAAGCAUUGGCUGAGAGAAGUAUAUGGAAAGUUACAAAAGUGGAUGUUUGCUCUUCACAAUAUACAGUAAUCGGCACUGGUUUGGAAACUUUACUGUUAAAGGAGGAGAUGUAUACAUUUCCAGAAGA